rnacentral:rRNA from 1 species
UACGGAGGGUGCAAGCGUUAUCCGGAUUCACUGGGAUUAAAGGGUGCGUAGGUGGGCAGGUAAGUCAGUGGUGAAAUCUCCGGGCUUAACCCGGAAACUGCCAUUGAUACUAUCUGUCUUGAAUAUCGUGGAGGUGAGCGGAAUAUGUCAUGUAGCGGUGAAAUGCUUAGAUAUGACAUAGAACACCAAUUGCGAAGGCAGCUCACUACGCGAAUAUUGACACUGAGGCACGAAAGCGUGGGGAUCAAACAGG